CUUUUGAUAUUAGCCAAACACUGAAGUCCCACCUACAGAGAAGUAAGAUUCAGUUGCCUUAACAACAUCUCUGACUGUCUUUAAUAUGUUCUAGAGCAUCAGAACCAUCUCCACGGGGCUGGCUGACAUCAGAUGGGACCUCCUGGAGGCCCAUCAGCACUCACAUGUAUUUACUUUUCCCCACAGACCAUUAAUUUUCGAGAUGGUCUCACGAGCCACCCAGAACAAAGCAAACAUUUGCUAUCAACAACUUCCACCAGUAUUUCUGUCCUGGAGAGGAACCCCUUGAAACACACUGUAGUCCCACCAGGAUUAGUGCCUCACCAGCUGUUGCCCCUUUAGUGCUGAGGCUUCCUUUCUAACAUGAGAUACCCGAGAAACUGAACCUCCUGCACCCCCUGAUUUUACCAAAUGCCAAUUGGCAAUGUGUUAUAUCGCCUCUGGUCAAAGCUCGGACCUGGGCACAGCGCUGGGGUGGUGCUUGUUUGGGUGGGUGGCCACCUCCUGGCCAAAGUCAAAGGGAACACGGGCUUUCCUGUGCUGUCUAGUAACCAGAUAAUCCUGUCCUCAUUUUAGUAUUUUGCAGGAAAUUAAAAUGUCCUCAAAUUGCUCAGAUCUGCCCUUUCUAUCUGGAAUUCAUAGUCGUUAUGUACGACUCAUCCUUUGCCUCUAGAGACAAUGUAACAUUUACAGCUGAACAUAUGACUUAAUGAAAAUAGGAACAAUUCAGAUCUGUAGAUGCCUCGCAUUACUCAUGUACAACAGCCUCCUUCAGCUAGGAAUGCAGCAUUUUGAAACAUAGGUCACAAUUCACCAGCCUUCUACCUUCUGUAGUGUUAUUGAAAUAACAGUAUGGCACGGUGAUGUACGAAAAAACAAGGUGGAGGCUCAUUUAACAUUAACAGUUUCAUAAACAGUUUCAACUCAGUCCUCAUUUUGACAAAUUCCCCUGAAUUAUCUUGAAUUACAGCAAAUGAAAAGCACUAGCAAUACUAAACAUAGUACAUGGUCGGCUGGGGACCCAGUGACUGUGGUGUUAAACCAUUGCACUCUGGUUUAACUUGAGUUUGCUCAAGUUUCCCUAAUUGCUAAAUAAAAUACUUGGAUGUCUGAACAGCCAGAGGGUGCCUGACGGUGUAGUGAGCAGCAGCGUCUCAGAGGGCUGUGGCUGGCUGUGCAUCGCUGAAGGCACUCGUUUGCCUGGGGAGCAAUCCUACAAUCAGAAAAAGACCAAGGUUUGCAUCAGCUCUGGAGGUGAGCUGGUCCAACCCCCUGCUCAAAGCAGGGCUAGCUUCCCAGCUAGGUCAGAUUGCUCAGGGCCUCACUCAGCUGAGUUUUGAAGAUCUCCAAGGAUGGAGAUCCACCACCUCCCUGGGCAACCUGCCUCAGUGCUCAGCUCCUCCUGCAGGGAGUUACCUCAUGCCCAACUGGAGUCUCCCUUCCUGCAUCUUGUGCCACAGAAUCACAGAAUGUCAGGGACUGGAAGGGACCUCGAAAGAUCAUCUAGUCCCAUCCCCCCACCGGAGCAGGAACACCUAGAUGAGGUUACACAGGACGGCGUCCAGGUGGGUUUUGAAUGUCUCCAGAGAAGGAGACUCCACAACCUCCCUGGGCAGCCCGUUCCAGUGCUCUGCUACCCUCACCAUGAAGAAGUUUCUUCUCAUAUUUAAGUGGAACCUCCCGUGUUCCAGUUUGCACCCAUUGCCCCUUGUCAUUGAUUGUCACUGAGAAAAGCCUGGCUCCAUCCUCAUUUGCUGUGAGUCCUGUCACUUCACCUUAAGAAGUGGCUUUGUCUUUUCUGUAGCCACCUGUUAUUUACAGGAAAAUAACAACUCUGUCUCACCUACCAUUUCUUCUCUAGGCUGAGCAGAUACAUUUCUGCCAGCCUUUCCUCACAGAGCAUGGGCUCCAGCCUCCUAACCACGUUGGUGGUCCUUCACUAGCAGACUUUGAGGCAGAAAAAGGACUCAUAAAAAGAGUGGAAACUUUUUCAGUUUGUUAAGGUGAAUGUAAAAGAAUACAUGCAUAUAAGGAAGAAAUAUGUGCAAAAUGAGAUUCAGUUUAGCAAGAGAUUACAGGAUAAUAAGAAAUCAUUCUCUGCUGUUUAUUUUUAUCUUGUUGAAUGGCCCAAAGAAAACACUGAUAAAUAUAUUCAAGGGAAAGGAAUCAGCAGAUGAUUUCAAACUGCAUUGCCUAUUACUUCUUUUGAAUUUGUCCUCUCUAAACAGUAAUUAAUGUAUCUAAAAAAGAUGAACUAGCCCUUUAAAAAUAUGAGGGACAUAAUAUUGAUGAAAAGGUUUUGGGGACCAGAGCAAGAACAAGGCAGAGAAUAAUGAAAUAAGGUAGACCUAAUGAAAUUAAACAGACAUCUUCGAAUUAGACAAGCCUGAUAAACUUCUUCUAAGGAUACCGAGAGAAGUGGCUCUCACUGUCUCAGAAGCCUUAGCAGUCAUCUGAAAAACUGAGUUAUGGGACAUAAGAAAAGAGCAGAUAUCUCUGAAAGGCUGAAAGAGAGGAGCUGGGAAAUAAUGGAACAAUCAGUUUAACUCCAAGGCUGUCAAUCUGGCACCUUUCACAAGCUCUAAAUUAUUUUUACCAUAACAAUAAAAAAUAUAAAAGCAGAUAACCUAAGCUGAUUUUGCAGCAAUCAAUUUAAACUUCCAGCCUCCCAUGAAAAUAUAUUACUAAGAUGUAAAGAAACACGUAUUUCUAAGGCGUAGACCACUUCACACCAGCCGAAUGCACUUAACCCUUUACAGUUAAAAAAAACCUCCUCAAAUUCAAAGCUAAGAAAUUACAGGAUAUAGAGGCAUAUAUAAAAAAUAAGUUGAUUAUGAACACCAUAAGGCCUGUGCCUAUGCAAAUGACAGAUUUAAAAACAGAGAACAGACUGACUGAGACAGCAAAACUCAAGGUGGUGUUAAAAUGUCCAUGGGAACAAUUAAAGUUGCGUAAGAGAAGUAGUGAUGUUCAACCACUUUAGAAGUGGGAGAUUGCUUUCUUUUUUGUCCUUGUAAGCGGAUAUUCAGGAAGAAGGUGCUGACUCAUCAUUUCUGUGGAAAUUUCAUGCUUAAGAUCCUAUAGGAACUAAUAAAUUACAUUACAGAAGAUAGAGGGAGGUUUCUUCCGAAAAGACAGAUAUCUGAUUAUGGGCCACUGAUAUCCAGCUCCACCUGUGAUCUGUGGAAAAAGAUGAAAGUUCAAAGAAGUAGAUCUCCAAUUUCUCCGCAGUUUAGAUUUCUUUCGUCAAUGUGAUAGGUAACCUGUUGCAAACAGAGAGACCUGUAGCGCUGUAAGAGCCUUACACCAAGUGGUGCACAUAUUCUGCCACCCUGGCUAUCUAGAGGCCUCUUUGCAAGAGACUGAACCUAAGAAAACACGUUAUAUUCCAUCCAUCCAUCCAUCCUUCUAUCAUAGUUACCCUUUCAGAUGUUUUUUUUCUAGGAGAGGGAAGAAGUUAGUUGGAUUCAACUCUCCCUGGGAUCAGAAAUUCCAUUAUUUCAAUUCCUAACCUGCAAGUGUAAGAGGAUUUCAAGCUAAGGCGGAGAGCCCCCCUCAGAAAUCCAGCCAGGACCUCAGAUGAGCGGAUGAGAAGCAGCUUGCAUUGCAGUUUCACGAGUGCUUUGAGAUUGUCCCCAAGAGCACAUUGACCCAGACAGCAAGGCUCAAAGCACUCACACACUCUUUACCUGUAGGACAUAUCUGUGUAGGUAGUGGACAAAGCUGGGAUCUUCUGGCUGCUCCUUUUUUUUACCAUGAUGUACUCAUGCCCUUUGGCUUCAUUUUCUGCCUCCAUAGCCCAGCUUUCCAGGAUAAUUUAUUGGUCCACCACGUGGAAAUCGUGAGGCGCUCUCACAAGCUCCAGCCCCUUUCUGCCUUGAGGUACAUAUUUAAGUCAAAAAAGAAGCCGUAUAUCUUCGCAUUAAAGGCGAUCCACACAUGAAAUACGAUUUUUUUUAAUCCUCAAUCAAAAUAAUUUAUGUUCUUUAUCAUCGUGAGUCUGUCACCACAUAAAAAGCCAUUGGGCAAUGAUUACUGAAAAAUCUUUGCUUUGUUUUUUCUUUUUGUUUUCAAGAGAACUUUGCACAAAGCUAGUAAUGUCUUCUUCUUGUCACCCAGCACAUUUUGCACAGCUGCACAGAUUUUUUUUCAGUCAUCAAGAUAAAAGCAAUUUGAAAAAUUACAAUGUGAAAAUGAAGUUACAAGGCACGAAAACCCCCCAAGAAUAUUCUAAAAUAAAUGCAGCAGCAUAAACUUCUUGAAAUUGAAAACAGUCAUGAAGUAGCCAGUGUUUGAGGGUGGUGAUUAUUCCCCUCUAGUCGUUGCUUGUGAGGCUGUAUCUGCAGUACUGUGUCCAGUGUAGGUCCAUUCAUAGAAUCAUAGAAUCAUUUCAGUUGGAGGAGACCCUCACAAUCAUCGAGCCCAGCCAUAACCUAACCUAACUCUAGCACUAAACCAUGUCCCUAAGAACAUGUCUCUAAACACCUCCAGGGAUGGCGACUCCACCACUUUCCUGGGCAGCCUGUUCCAAUGCCUGACGACCCUUUCCAGGAAGAAUUUUUUCCUAAUAUCCAAUCUGAACCUCCCCUGGUGCAACUUAGAAGAUUUGCCAACAAACUGGAAAGGCCCACCAGUGAAGGCUCACCAAAAUAUUUAGGAGGCUACAGUAUAUGACAAAUGAGGAGGGGAGAGCUGGGUUUUUGUAUCCUAGAGAAAAGACUUAAGAGGGUUUCAUCUGAUCUCUUCAACACCCCAACAGGUGGUUGCAGAGAAGAUGGAGCCAAACUUCUCAGGAGUGUAUAGUGACAGAACAAGAGGCAACAGGCAGAAGUUGCAGCAGGGAAAACUCCAACUGGACACAUGGAAAAACUUCUUCCCCAGGAGAAUGGUUAAGAAUUAGAAGAGCUUGUCUGGAGAGGUGGUGCAAGUGCCAUCUGAAAAAUUUUCAAGAGUCAUCUAGACAAGGCUUGGACCAACCUGGCCCAACCUCAACGUUAGCCCUGCUUAGUGCAGGGCUUUGGACUAGGUGACCUCCAGAGCCUCCUUUCAACCUAAAUCCUUCUGUGUUUCUAUGAUUUUAUAAUUGACUGGCUCCCGACGCUCUGUUCCCAGCUGCUGUCUGUAGCAGGUCUUCAUCUGCAAGCUCAGGCUGCCUCACCUCUCCAUGGCAAAUAUGUGGAACCUACAAGGCUGCCUAGUUGAACAUAAAAUUUCUGUAGCAUUUCAAAAACAGCUGCUGGGAACCAUCCUUCAGCUAGCUCACCCUGAAUCAUCCAAGUUGCCCGCCCCCUGGCUUGACAUCCUACGCAUCUGCAUCUAGUGUCACGGGUGUUACUGAACAGUUUAUGUUCUGUCCUCCCUCUGGGUGAAGAAACUAAUCAAAUGCUGCUAUGUUUGCAAGCAGGUUUCAAAAAGCUUUUAAGAAGUUUAAUUAUCCUGGUUGUCAUUACAUUUAUAUUUCUUAUUGGGAGAUGCUACCAUAUUUAAUCCAAUGUUAUAACGUAGUGUUAGGUUCAUGAGUCUGUUUGCUACCAUGUAGGACCUGGUAUCUCAUUCCCCAGGAGAUUUUGCAUUUGUAUAAAUUCAGAUAACGGAGAAUGAAGACUUGAAAAUGCCAAGUAUCCUAGAGGGUAAAAUAGCUUUAAAAAUCCAUUUGGGACACCUGAAACUGACUUUUUUUUAGUAUUUCAGGCUGUUUCCUCGAUUCCCUCUUCACUGCCCUAGAGUGUCAGCUGAAGAUACGGGCAGACAGCUGGACAGUGUACCAGACUGACAGCUGGCCAGGGAGACAUCCGGAACGACAAGGGCAACAAAUCCUGGAAACAAAAUGUUCAGGUUAUCACCUUGCUGCACAAGUUAGUGAAUUGGAAGCCUGAGAAGCCACAGGAAAUCAGAGUUUUAGGGGUGGUUCUCGAGAGUCUCCCAGAGAGGCUUCUAGGUUGAGGAGCCCUGGAAAAGAUUCAGGGGAAGCUGCCAGAACUAUUAUUUUGUGGACAGAUUUUUAAAAAUUAUUAUUUUAGAAAGAAAACAUUAUGCACUCUUUGGUGCUUGGUCAUCCUGCUCAUCAACAUUUUUGAUAUGAAAUUCCUCUCCUUUGACCUUGUAAUGGAACAACUAUCUCAGGAUCCCUUCAGAGCUGCCAAGGACAUGCAGACUUCCAGAAAACUAUUCUGUGUGGGACAAUAUUCAAUCAUUAGCUAUUUGUUUAGGUCCAGCUACAAAGAACUGCAGAAGGACCUUAUAAGACUGAGCAGCUGGGUGAUAACACACCAAAUGAAACUUAAUACAGAUAAAAGUGAUUAAUUGGGGAAAAACUAUGCUAAUAUUACAUAUAAAACAAUAGGUUCUCAACUGCCGCUCAUACCAUGACAAUGAGGUUAUGAUAGACAAUUCCACUGAAACAUCAGCUUGAUACUUAGUAGCAUUAAAAAAUGAUAACUAGAUGACUGGAGAACAGGACAGAGAGCACACACACAAAUGCCACAUCCUAAGCAUCACGUGUGGCUCUGAUUUCCCAAUCUGGAAUAGGAUAUAAAAACUCAGAGAAGUUCAGAAACAUUUGAUAAAGGUCAUGAAGGUUUAGGAGUAGUCUCCAUACACAGGGAACAAAUAAGUAAGCUAGAACUCUUCAGCUUGGAAAAAAGACAAUUGAUAAGGGAUAUGACAAGAAGAUAAGAAGCGCCCUGGAGAAACUAGUCAGCCAUCAGUUGCUUAUUGUCUCUUCCAACACAAGAAGUGGUGUUCAUCAAACAAAACUAUUAGGAUCCAAAAUAACCAAAAGGAGGUAAUACUUCACACAACAGGUAGGAUCUUGGGACUCCUUGACACAGGAUGUUAUGAGCACUAGAAGUUCACAUGGUCUCAGGGAGCAACUGGCAAACUAAUGGAGGAAAAAAUAUACAAAGGACUGUUAAAUCCAAAGACAACAUCUCUAGUCCAAGACACCCCUGCAGUCUGAGAGAAUAUUCUAGGCAAGGAUCACUGUAUAUUUGCCUUAUUCUUAUAUACAUUUUAAGAACUGCUUUAACCAUUCUUCAUACCGGUUUUCCCAUUAGGAGCAUGCAAAAUCCAUUGUUAACACACCUGAAAGCCUUUGAGCUACACAAAGAGAAAACUGCGAGGAGUCAAUAAUUUCAAAUGGAAAAUGGGUGGAAGACACAAGGCAUCAGAAAUAUAAAGAGAUAUACAGGUGAGGCAGGAACGUACAGGCACAUUCCCAAGGGAUGGUUCAGUGAGUGAGUGCCUGGAGUUACCCAUCCUGCCAAAGCCAUGCAUGGGUAACACAUUUAAUGAGAAAAGGAGGAUUAUAGGCAAAUACCUAUGUAUCCAAUGGCCUGCUUAAAUGCAACUGAAUAGGAAUACCAAGUGCAGAAGAGACUUAAUUUAAAUUUGUAACACAAGCAGCCACACUGUAAGAAGUAAACCAAAUUUUAGUUAAAAGUAAAUACUCUGGUUUCUUUAAGAAACACGGGGCAACAAAUUAAAUAACUAAUUACAACCGUUUGUUUGCUACAAGGAUCAGCAGUAGGUGUGGAAAACCCACCUGGAAUGACAGAGGCGCGGACACCCUGCGAGCAACACGGCACCUUGAGGGUACAUACAGCACUAUGCUGCCCUUGGUCCCCCCAAAAACAGGCCCUCGCGGUGCUGGAUGCGGGUAGCAAGGUGCCUCGCACCCCUGCGGGGGCUGCGGGUCCCCCCACGCUGCGUCCCGACCGACUGUCCGGAACGCCAGCUGCAAUGUGGAGAGGCAAAAACACGCGGUGCUACGAGCACGCCGGCCGACUUUCUCGGGAUGUUUGUUGGGAAGAACAAAACUGCUGUUGUGUCCGUGAGGCUUUGCUGGGGUUGUUUACGAGGUUUGUCCUGGAGAGACGGCGGGGCAAGACGGGGCACAGAGCUCGGCCGGGGCAGCGAUGCCGCACGAGCGCAUCAGCGCUUGUUUUCUGGGCUGGCGUUUCCCCACUGGAAGAAAGACAAAUACCGAUUUCCCUUUGCUGCAGCCUCAGACUCUCAAGAGGAAAAUGAGUCCUGUCAAUGGUUCUUCACUGCAUGAGACUUGCAUCUUAUCAGAGGACAUGGCAUUAUUUCACUUUUACAUCUCUCCCUCAAGAAUACUCCCUUCAAUGAAGUAGUUCAAGGGCAGGCAUCAGAAAGUCUGUUGUAGCAAGUACAGCAAAUGGAUCCAAGCCACAUUAGAAAUUCAUCAGUAAAAGUACACAUGGUAAAGUUUGACAUGCAACAGAAAUAUUUGCAUCACCAUGGUUCCUAGUGAAGGACAAUACCUUGUACCACCGGUCACUUUCAUAGAAUCAUAGAAUGGUUUUGGUUGGAAGGGACCUUCAAAGGCCAUCUAGUCCAACCCCCCUGCAGUGAGCAGGGACACCAACUAGAUCAGGUUGCUCAGACCCCAUCCAGCCUGGCCUGGAAUGUCUCCAGGGAUGGGGCAUCUACCACCUCUCUGGGCAACCUGGACCACCCUCAUUGUAAAAGAUUUCUUCCUCAUGUCUAGCCUGAAUCUCCCCUCCUUUAGUUUAAAACCAUUACCCAUUGUCCGGUCGUAACAGGCCCUGCUAAAAAGUCUGUCCCCAUCUUUCUUACAGGCCCCUUUUAAGCACUGAAACGCAGCAAUAAGGUCUCCCCGGAGACCUUCUCUUCUCCAGGCUGAACCUGCCCUUCCCCUGCUCCCGGCCCUGCUCCUCACCCCCAUGAGCAGCAGGACACGUGAACCAGAAACCAGCACCCACCUUGCAGGCACCACCUCACCCAGCAGGCCCAAGACUGAGGGGCCCAGGUGAGGCGAGGGAAGAGAACCACCACGGUCCCUGGGCCCCGGUACCAGCCCAGCCUCCCUCCAGGGAACAGCGGGGCAGCUGGGAGCAGGCCCAGGGCCCGGGUGGGGGUUACACAUCGCUGUCAGCUCAACUACAUACAAGUACAUACAGUAAUGCUGAAACCAAGUCACAAAGGAUGGAAUUUAUAAGUUUCUGAGGUAGCCAACUGUUUUGUUUGGUUUUUUUUUUUUUUUUUUUUUUUUGAAGUUAGAUUAAGGAAAUUACCCUUUUGGAACUCAAUAACCUCUUUUAAACAUCUACUAUACAACAACAUAUACCACACUUUCUUUUUAACUGUUAUUUCAGCUAUAGACAAGUAUCUUGCAAAAAUCAGAGAUGACUCCCACUUGAAAGAAUGACAAGAGAAACAGAUGACCACAGCAGGUUAACAGGCACAUUUCAAGAUAGGAGUUUGAGGCACGCUCAGCUUACCCAAAGAUCUAGUUAAUGAGGUUUACUAGCUAUGCUUGUCGAGCAAUUAACUACCCUGAAGAAGAACCUCAGACAGUCUCUGGCAAAAUGCAUUCUGCAUUUUUGUUUCCAGGAUGCUGUGCAUGGUUUCAUUUUAAACAAAUGUUAACCAUGUUGUUAGUUAGAUAUCCUAGAGGUGCAUUUGUACGCAUACUCACACCAAUUGGGUGGUAGGUAGGUAAGCAAUAUUAAGAGAAAAAAUACUUUCCUAAAACUUCUGUGCUUGGAAUUAUAACCUGUAUUUUUUUCUUCUGAAGGAAUUCUUGACUAGCUACACAGGCAGUUCAUUUGUAUAUACCAUUACUCCAUUUCAAAUAUGGGCUUUACUGGGUGCAUGGUCCAUUGCCAGCAACAGACACACAAACGCACCAGUAAUACAGAGCUUAAAAAGGUAAAAAAGAAGACACACUUGAAAUCUCUUUAUAGUUUUCAUUUUAAAAAUAAAAUAGAUGAAACUUUAGAAAAGGAACAUCUCAUUCCAAACAAAAUUUUAGAAUAUACUUGCAUGCUAAAAGCAGAAGUCUGGAUGCCAGCCUCAGGGAAGCUGACAAGUAAUAAAGAAACUUAAUCUUCCACAUUAUUC